ensembl:snoRNA U3 Small nucleolar RNA U3
AAGACUGUACAUUCAGGGAUCAUUUCUAUAGUUCAUUACUAAAGAAGUUUCACUGAUCGUGUAGAGUACCAGAAGCCACGAGGAGGAGAAGGCAUAGUGUUCCUUUCUGAGCAUGAAACUGGCUCUUGGGGUUGCUUUGCCGCAACUGCCAAUUGUCAGUGAUGAUUGUUCUCACUUCCUCCUUGGAGGAAAUAAGAGGCAGGGAAUGCAGUCUGAGUAGC